AGUGAACGCUGGCGGUAGGCCUAACACAUGCAAGUCGAACGGCAGCACAGUAAGAGCUUGCUCUUACGGGUGGCGAGUGGCGGACGGGUGAGGAAUACAUCGGAAUCUACUUUUUCGUGGGGGAUAACGUAGGGAAACUUACGCUAAUACCGCAUGCGACCUACGGGUGAAAGCAGGGGAUCUUCGGACCUUGCGCGAUUGAAUGAGCCGAUGUCGGAUUAGCUAGUUGGCGGGGUAAAGGCCCACCAAGGCGACGAUCCGUAGCUGGUCUGAGAGGAUGAUCAGCCACACUGGAACUGAGACACGGUCCAGACUCCUACGGGAGGCAGCAGUGGGGAAUAUUGGACAAUGGGCGCAAGCCUGAUCCAGCCAUACCGCGUGGGUGAAGAAGGCCUUCGGGCUGUAAAGCCCUUUUGUUGGGAAAGAAAAGCAGCAGGUUAAUACCCCGCUGUUCUGACGGUACCCAAAGAAUAAGCACCGGCUAACUUCGUG
rnacentral:rRNA from 1 species